rnacentral:rRNA from 1 species
UACGGAGGGUGCAAACGUUGCUCGGAAUCAUUGGGCGUAAAGCGCACGUAGGUGGCCUGACAUGUCGGGUGUGAAAUCCCUCGGCUUAACCGAGGAAGUGCAUUCGAAACUAGCAGGCUUGAAUACUCAAGAGGGUCUCGGAAUUCCCGGUGUAGAGGUGAAAUUCGUAGAUAUCGGGAGGAACACCAGUGGCGAAGGCGGAGACCUGGGGAGAUAUUGACACUGAGGUGCGAAAGCGUGGGGAGCAAACAGGG